rnacentral:rRNA from 1 species
UACGGAGGAUGCAAGCGUUAUCCGGAUUGAUUGGGCGUAAAGCGUCUGUAGGUGGUUACGCUAGUCGGCUGUUAAAGAUCAGGGCUGAACCCUGAGCAAGCAGUCGAAACUGCGUGGCUGGAGUACGGUAGGGGCAGGGGGAAUUCCCGGUGUAGCGGUGAAAUGCGUAGAUAUCGGGAAGAACACCAAAGGCGAAAGCGCUCUGCUGGGCCGAAACUGACACUGAGAGACGAAAGCUAGGGGAGCGAAUGGG